CGGUUGCUAAUACUCCAUAUGCCGAGAGGUGAAAGAAUUUAUUUGCCUAAGGAGGAGCUCGCGUCUGAUUAGCUAGUUGGUAGGGUAAUGGCCUACCAAGGCGACGAUCAGUAGCUGGUUUGAGAGGAUGAUCAGCCACACUGGGACUGAGACACGGCCCAGACUCCUACGGGAGGCAGCAGUAGGGAAUUUUCCGCAAUGGGCGAAAGCCUGACGGAGCAAUACCGCGUGAGGGAUGACGGCCUGUGGGUUGUAAACCUCUUUUCUCAAGGAAGAAGUUCUGACGGUACUUGAGGAAUAAGCAUCGGCUAACUCUGUGCCAGCAGCCGCGGUAAUACAGAGGAUGCAAGCGUUAUCCGGAAUCACUGGGCAUAAAGCGUCUGUAGGUGGUUUGGUAAGUCUGCUGUUAAAGACUGGGGCUCAACCCCAGAAAAGCAGUGGAAACUGCCAGACUUGAGUGUGGUAGAGGUAGAGGGAAUUCCUAGUGUAGCGGUGAAAUGCGUAGAUAUUAGGAAGAACACCAAUGGCGAAGGCACUCUGCUGGACCAUAACUGACACUGAGAGACGACAGCUAGGGGAGC
rnacentral:rRNA from 1 species